rnacentral:rRNA from 1 species
GCCUACGGGAGGCAGUAGGGAAUUUUCGUCAAUGGGCGCAAGCCUGAACGAGCAAUGCCGCGUGAACGAGGAAGGUCUUCGGAUCGUAAAGUUCUGUUGAAGGGGAAAAAAAGCGGAGAGAGGAAAUGGUCUCCGAUUGAUAUUACCCUUCGAGGAAGUCACGGCUAACUACGUGCCAGCAGCCGCGGUAAUACGUAGGUGGCGAGCGUUAUCCGGAAUGAUUGGGCGUAAAGGGUGCGUAGGCGGCCUGCUAAGUCUGGAGUGAAAGGUACCGGCUCAACCGGUACAGGCUCUGGAAACUGGCG